UGAACGCUGGCGGCGUGCCUAAUACAUGCAAGUCGAGCGAACGGACGAGAAGCUUGCUUCUCUGAUGUUAGCGGCGGACGGGUGAGUAACGCGUGGAUAACCUACCUAUAAGACUGGGAUAACUUCGGGAAACCGGAGCUAAUACCGGAUAAUAUUUUGAACCGCAUGGUUCAAAAGUGAAAGACGGUCUUGCUGUCACUUAUAGAUGGAUCCGCGCUGCAUUAGCUAGUUGGUAAGGUAACGGCUUACCAAGGCAACGAUGCAUAGCCGACCUGAGAGGGUGAUCGGCCACACUGGAACUGAGACACGGUCCAGACUCCUACGGGAGGCAGCAGUAGGGAAUCUUCCGCAAUGGGCGAAAGCCUGACGGAGCAACGCCGCGUGAGUGAUGAAGGUCUUCGGAUCGUAAAACUCUGUUAUUAGGGAAGAACAUAUGUGUAAGUAACUGUGCACAUCUUGACGGUACCUAAUCAGAAAGCCACGGCUAACUACGUGCCAGCAGCCGCGGUAAUACGUAGGUGGCAAGCGUUAUCCGGAAUUAUUGGGCGUAAAGCGCGCGUAGGCGGUUUUUUAAGUCUGAUGUGAAAGCCCACGGCUCAACCGUGGAGGGUCAUUGGAAACUGGAAAACUUGAGUGCAGAAGAGGAAAGUGGAAUUCCAUGUGUAGCGGUGAAAUGCGCAGAGAUAUGGAGGAACACCAGUGGCGAAGGCGACUUUCUGGUCUGUAACUGACGCUGAUGUGCGAAAGCGUGGGGAUCAAACAGGAUUAGAUACCCUGGUAGUCCACGCCGUAAACGAUGAGUGCUAAGUGUUAGGGGGUUUCCGCCCCUUAGUGCUGCAGCUAACGCAUUAAGCACUCCGCCUGGGGAGUACGACCGCAAGGUUGAAACUCAAAGGAAUUGACGGGGACCCGCACAAGCGGUGGAGCAUGUGGUUUAAUUCGAAGCAACGCGAAGAACCUUACCAAAUCUUGACAUCCUUUGACAACUCUAGAGAUAGAGCCUUCCCCUUCGGGGGACAAAGUGACAGGUGGUGCAUGGUUGUCGUCAGCUCGUGUCGUGAGAUGUUGGGUUAAGUCCCGCAACGAGCGCAACCCUUAAGCUUAGUUGCCAUCAUUAAGUUGGGCACUCUAAGUUGACUGCCGGUGACAAACCGGAGGAAGGUGGGGAUGACGUCAAAUCAUCAUGCCCCUUAUGAUUUGGGCUACACACGUGCUACAAUGGACAAUACAAAGGGCAGCGAAACCGCGAGGUCAAGCAAAUCCCAUAAAGUUGUUCUCAGUUCGGAUUGUAGUCUGCAACUCGACUACAUGAAGCUGGAAUCGCUAGUAAUCGUAGAUCAGCAUGCUACGGUGAAUACGUUCCCGGGUCU
rnacentral:rRNA from 1 species